rnacentral:misc_RNA from 1 species
GAUGAAGAACGCAGCGAAAUGCGAUAAGUAAUGCGAAUUGCAGAAUUUCCGUGAGUCAUCGAAUCUUUGAACGCACAUUGCGCCCUCUGGUAUUCCGGGGGGCAUGCCUGUUCGAGCGUCAUUAUAACCACUCAAGCUCUCGCUUGGUAUUGGGGUUCGCGGUUCCGCGGCCCCUAAAAUCAGUGGCGGUGCCUGUCGGCUCUACGCGUAGUAAUACUCCUCGCGAUUGAGUCCGGUAGGUCUACUUGCCAGCAACCCCCAAUUUUUACAGGUUGACCUCGGAUCAGGUAGGGAUACCCGCUGAACUUAAGCAUAUCAAUAAGCGGAGGA